AUGAAAUCUCUGUUGCUUUUCCUUUCCCUGUUCUCCGCCCCCAGCUGUGUCCUCUCCCAGGUGCAGCUGGUCCAGUCCGGCCCAGGAGCUGUGAAGCCGGGAGGGACCCUGCGUAUCACCUGUAAAGUUUCUGGUGUCUCUGUCAGUGACUACCAUUGGAACUGGGUCCGGCAGCCCCCUGGGAAAGGGCUUCAGUGGAUGGGGCUUAUCCGGAGCUCUGCAGCAGGCCGGACCACAGAGUAUAAGUCGGUUUUCAAACCUUGUGUCACCGUCACUAGGGUCACCUCGAAGGACGAAGUUUAUCUCCAGCUCCGCUCGCUGACAGCCAGAGACACCGCCACCUAUUACUGUGCUCGAUACACGCUGGUCCACUUCGGCCGAAGAGCGGUGAAGCCUGGAGACACCCUCACACUGACCUGCGCUGUCUCCGGGACCUCCAUUAGCAGUGAUAACGGCUGGCACUGGAUCCGGCAGCGUCCCGGGACAGGGCUGAAGUGCAGCUGGUCCAGCCCGGCCCGGGAGCGGGGAAUCCCGGAGGGACCCUCAGUAUCAUCUGUGCGCUCAGCUGAGCGGGUCUCUCCGGGGUGUAAAGGGAGCACCUGUCCCCGACGGGACAUCGCCAUGUACUGA